UGUGUGUGUUUGCGUAGUGGAAGUGCUUGUGCCGGCAAGCGCACAUGUUGGGUGCAAAGCAAUACGCUCUACGGCCACAAUCGCUGUAGAACAUACAAAUAUACAUAGGGAUGUAGAUACACUGUUAAGUCAAUGUUAAGUGGCUUAAACACUCACUGAUCGCAGAUGGGCACACACUUGGCGCCGUGGAGCAGAGUGCUGCGCAUCUCGUAGCCCUGUGCACAAAUGCAGCGACCAUCGUACGAGCAGCGGCCGUGAAUGCAGCGCCUGGAAAAAGAUUUUAGAUGGAACUAUUACAUUUUAUUUUAACAGUGACUCUAAACGGAAUCGGAGUCCUGGUCCUCGAUGUCGACAGAGUCGUGCAACCGCAUCGAAGUAGUAGUGUUUGCCCUUG